rnacentral:rRNA from 1 species
AGAACGAACGCUGGCGGCAUGCCUAACACAUGCAAGUCGAACGUGAUCCAGGCUUCGGCCUGGUGAAAGUGGCAGACGGGUGAGUAACGCGUGGGAACCUGCCCUGUGGUAGGGAAUAACCGUGGGAAACUGCGGCUAAUACCCUAUGAGUCCUUCGGGAGAAAGAUUUAUCGCCAUAGGAGGGGCCCGCGUCGGAUUAGGUAGUUGGUGGGGUAACGGCCUACCAAGCCUUCGAUCCGUAGCUGGUCUGAGAGGAUGAUCAGCCACACUGGGACUGAGAUACGGCCCAGACUCCUACGGGAGGCAGCAGUGGGAAUAUUGGACAAUGGGGGCAACCCUGAUCCAGCAAUGCCGCGUGGAUGAUGAAGGCCUUCGGGUUGUAAAGUCCGUUUCGGCGGGGAAGAUGAUGACGGUACCGCAGAAGAACGCCCCGGCUAACUUCGUGCCAGCAGCCG